AUUGAACGCUGGCGGCAGGCCUAACACAUGCAAGUCGAACGAGUGGCGGACGGGUGAGUAAUGUCUGGGAAACUGCCUGAUGGAGGGGGAUAACUACUGGAAACGGUAGCUAAUACCGCAUACCAUCAGAUGUGCCCAGAUGGGAGUAGCUAGUUGGUGGGGUAACGGCUCACCAAGGCGACGCUCCCUAGCUGGUCUGAGAGGAUGACCACCCACCCUGGAACUGAGACAGGGCCCAGACUCCUAGGGGAGGCAGCAGUGGGGAAUAUUGCACAAGGUGCGAAAGCCUGAUGCAGCUAUGCCGGGUGUAUGAAGAAGGCCUUCGGGUUGUAAAGUACUUUCAGCGGGGAGGCGUUACCCGCAGAAGAAGCACCGGCUAACUCCGUGCCAGCAGCCGCGUUAAUU
rnacentral:rRNA from 1 species